GAUGAACGCUAGCGGCAGGCCUAAUACAUGCAAGUCGAACGAUAGAAGAGGGCUUGCUCUCUUCGAAAGUGGCGCACGGGUGCGUAACGCGUAUGCAACCUACCUUAAUCAGGGGGAUAGCCCGAAGAAAUUCGGAUUAACACCGCAUAAAAUCACAGUACAGCAUUGUACAAUGAUCAAAUAUUUAUAGGAUUAAGAUGGGCAUGCGUGACAUUAGCUAGUUGGCGGGGUAACGGCCCACCAAGGCGACGAUGUCUAGGGGAUCUGAGAGGAUGACCCCCCACACUGGUACUGAGACACGGACCAGACUCCUACGGGAGGCAGCAGUAAGGAAUAUUGGUCAAUGGAGGCAACUCUGAACCAGCCAUGCCGCGUGCAGGAAGACAGCCCUCUGGGUCGUAAACUGCUUUUAUUCGGGAAUAAACCUACUUACGUGUAAGUAGCUGAAUGUACCGAAGGAAUAAGGAUCGGCUAACUCCGUGCCAGCCGCCGCCGUAA
rnacentral:rRNA from 1 species